UCUGAUGACUUAAAUCCGACGGCUCCCCGCCUCCCUCCCGAUCCGAUCCAGAUCGCGGAUCGCUUCCCCUCCCCCGGGCAAAAUCACCGCGCACUCCCUCCUCUUUCUAUCGCUCCUGCCGCCUCGCCUUUCGCCCUCCUCCAUCUCGCCAACGCCACCGCCACCGCCUCCGCCUCCGCCACCCCCUCCGCCCGCCGCCCGCCGCCCCUCCUCCCCUGCGCCGCCGCAUCCGCACCGCCCAACCCCGCCGGCCACCGAGGACGCGGAAACCGCACCUCACUCCCGGUCUCCCACGCCUCCCUCUCCUCUUUUAGUCAGAACGCGGACGCCCUCCUCUCUCGCAGCCGUCGUUGGAGCGAGCACCGCCACUCCAAUCGCCGGCAAUCCCCUUCGCCGUGCGCACCCGUCGUUGGAGCGAGAGCCGUCGUCGGUUCCUCCUCCACCGUCGCCGCCACCGGAUCACCGACGCCGACCGCCCGCAUCGUAGCCUCCGUGCCAAUCCCCCCAUCUCGCGAGCAGAGCAGGGGAGGGGAGGGGAGGGGAGGGGAGGGGUGCCGACGUGCCGUGGUCCUGCUGCAUCCCGGAAAGGAAGAUCAGCACAAUACUGACGGGACCGUCGCCCACGGCGCCGGCGACGAUUCACCGCCGACGUCAUCGUCCAACACCGUGACUUGGCCCUUCGUCCUCCAUGUCCACCGCGCCCUCGCCGCCAUUCAUAAGAACAACAUUGCAGCACCCAAUCUGUGGCACCCCAUCGACACAUACGACCGCGUCGCCCUGGCUCAUCGUGGCUAACCCCACCGACGAGGUAACUAGAUUUACCUUUUGCUUUUGUUCGAUUGUUUGACGGCCGAGCAACAGGGAUCGCGACCAGUCGGCAAGCUGACUGUUUUGGUUAACUGAUAAGUGAUAACUGAGGAAUUUAAAGCUGUGUGUGCUUGUCAUGUGCUUUCGGGUAGCUGUUCUUAACCACUGCCAAAAGUUUCGGAAGGUGAUAGAACCAAACAGGUAGUUCCUUAGCUGCCUGUGCAGUGUGCAGCGUGUCUCUGGACCAAAGGUUGUAAAUGUUGCAUAAAUGUUUUUUUUUUAAAAAAAUCCAGUUGAGGUACUCUUGGGUCCAAAGCCAUAAAUGCAUAAAUAAGGUCCAAAGGCACUAAUUUCCAUUGCUAGCUUUCUUGUCACUUAGUUUCAUUACAUUUGACAUAUACCCAGAUGAUUUUUGUUCUUGUUUGUGUACAGGUUCAGAGUUUUUUAUGUAAUAAUUACUCUCUUUCCAUAUAUGCAGUACAUUUUUAUUACACGAUAACAUCAGUGUUAAUGUUCUAUAUGGCAUUACUAUCAUUAUUUUUCAACUUAUGUCAUGCAUAUCAUUCCAUAUCUUUUACUUCUCUUUUAUUAUGAAAAUGACAUCUUUCUGAUUCGUUGAGGGCAUGCGGGGUAGUAUAUCUGUUAUUUUAAUAUAUUCAGUGUUUUCAUCAAUAUAUUGACCAAAUAUUCGGUUUAUAUCAGUAAAGGGCCAUGUUCUUUUCACAAGAUCUGUUUCUGAAUAUACAGACUGUGUUGCAACAUUUGUAGAAUUCAAGUUGUCCGUAGUCCUGCUUUGCAUGAGUAAAUGCCAAUCUUAUGUGUCUGAACUCUUUUCUUCUGUGUCUGAACUCUCAAGUGAUGAUCUAUGUUUCCCAAAAAAUCUUAUGUCUAGCAAACUUAGUUUCUGUUUCCAAAUGAAAAAUCAAGUAGUGAAUAAUGUACCUGUAUUAAAUGUACUGGUCUCUUAUUUAGUAAUGUAUCUAGAUACAUAUGCUGAAUUUUUAUAUAUAGAAGCAUAUGUUGCUUUUACACAUGAAGGUGUAUAUGCUAUCAGGUUUCUAUAAUAUGGUUCAUAAGUGAACAGCAUCAAAUGUCUACAUUACUUUAGUUUGAAUGUACACGCUGAUAUAAAAUUUAGAGAGCAUUCUUGGAAUGUACAUACUGUUAAGAAAAUUUAGAUGAAUUAAAUCCUUAUGCCUUAUAUGUUUUUUCUCACACAGUUGUAAGUUUGUUUGGAGAAGGGGACAUUCACAAACUGCUUGAAAGAGGUGUUUUGGUAUCUCAAUAUAUGGUGGAAUAUUUACUACUGCUUUUAGUAACUCCUAGAUAAUCUUUUUUUACAUACAUGCAUAACUAAAUUUGCAUAUAUCUUCAUGUGCAUUUGCGCUCUCUGAUAUUACAAUGGUAGGAUUUGUCUUUGAAUUGGUAUAGUGACGUAUUUCUGAUUCAUUAAGGGCAAACUGGGGAGUAGAACUGUUAUGUGCGAGAUAUUCAGUUUAUAUUUCUAAACUUGGGUGCACUUUGAAUCAGGACGAAUAGGCUCAGUUGAAUCUGUUGAGUUACAUAAAGAAGAGGUGGAU
rnacentral:lncRNA from 1 species